rnacentral:tRNA from 1 species
GGAGAGGUGGCCGAGUGGUCGAAGGCGUACGCUUGGAAAGCGUAUAUACUGAGUGAAUCGGUAUCGAGGGUUCGAAUCCCUCUCUCUCCGCAA